GUGUUUCGACGGGCAUAGGAUGAGGUCUUGUGAUUCAGGCUUGGAGAGUGACCACGGUCUUUUUUGGUGUCUUGAGGGAAAACUCCGUUUCCAAAGGAAGGUCAAGCCCGAUUUAGGCUUAACGCUGUCUGGACUGGGGAUGCGAACUGGUCGUGCGGGUGCUGGUCGAUGCGGACUUUUUCUCUACGCUCAAGUUUUUAUUCGAAUUAAGUUGGGGUUUUAUGUUUCUUCUCUACAACCAACUUGAGCGGAUAGUGCAACUGUGAAAAGUUUUCCAAGCAGCGCAAAUACCGCUCCGAGAAGGCUGAUAUCUUCUGUAAAGGUACUCUACGACUAAAGCAGGAAGUUGUAUUGACAGACAUUUGCGAAUGGAAAAUGUCAAGUCAUCACCGAAAGAGAAUGCCAUUUUCCUGGUGAGUUCUUUGAUUUCAUCCGCAAUGGUGCGUUCAGGUUUCGUAACGGCGACGCCGCUUUAUUUUCCAGCUCUGAAAAAGGCUCGAAUAUUGGGGUCAUAUUUUGUGUUGUUGGAACUGGUGAGAUAGAUUUUUGCUCGAAAUAUUGUUGACUUUGGUGUCUGGGUAGCGUUAAAAAAAAAAAAAAAA